rnacentral:rRNA from 1 species
UUUCCGGUUGUACCUGCCGGACCUCACUGCUAUCGGGGUGAGACUAAGCCAUGCAAGUCUAGGCCCAUAGCCAUCUGUGGGCCUGGCGUACGGCUCAGUAACACGUGGCCAACCUACCCCGAGGAGGCGGAUAACCCCGGGAAACUGGGGUAUAAACCGCCAUAGGUGAGGGGUUCUGGAACGACCCUUCGCUGAAAGACGUGUGCGGGGAUGCCUGUGCACAUGCCUCGGGAUGGGGCUGCGGCCCAUCAGGUAGUUGGUGGGGUAACGGCCCACCAAGCCUAUAACGGGUACGGGCCCUGAUAGGGGGAGCCCGGAGAUGGACUCUGAGACAAGAGUCCAGGCCCUACGGGGCGCAGCAGGCGCGAAAACUCCGCAAUGCGCUCACGCGUGACGGGGUUACCCCGAGUGCCACCCUCGUGGUGGCUUUUGCGCGGUCUAAAAAGCCGCGCGAAUAAGCGGGGGGCAAGACGGGUGUCAGCCGCCGCGGUAAUACCCGCUCCGCGAGUGGUGAGGACUAUUACUGGGCUUAAAGCGUCCGUAGCCGGCCCGGCGUGCUCCGCGUUAAAUCCAGCAGCCUAACUGCUGGGCUGCGCGGAUGACUGCCGGGCUUGGGGGUGGGAGAGGGCGGCGGUAUUCCCGGGGUAGGGGUAAAAUCCACUGAUCCCGGGAGGACCACCAGUGGCGAAGGCGGCCGCCCAGAACACGCCCGACGGUGAGGGACGAAAGCUGGGGGAGCGAUCGGGAUUAGAUACCCCGGUAGUCCCAGCCGUAAACGAUGCGGGCUUGGUGUCGGGCUGGCCACGAGCCAGCCCGGUGCAGAAGGGAAACCAUUAAGCCCGCCGCCUGGGGAGUACGGCCGCAAGGCUGAAAACGCCGUGCAGUUGGAGCUCAUUUCACAUAGUUUUUGGAUGUUUACCUCAAGUUUGUAAACACGUAUCCGACCGCACGGCGUCAGCAGACUUAAAGGAAUUGGCGGGGGAGCACCACAAGGGGUGGACGUUGCGGCUUAAUUGGAGUCAACGCCGGAAAGAGAGGUCCAGUUGUAAUUCUGGAUAACCUCUCCCGGAGACCUUACCGGGGGCGACAGCAGGAUGAUGGCCAGGUUAAAGGCCUUGCCUGACGAGCUGAGAGGAGGUGCAUGGCCGUCGCCAGUGCGUGCCGUGAGGUGUCCUGUUAAUUCAGGCAACGGACGAGACCCGCGCCCCCAGUUGCGACCGGGCCGGAAGGCGCCGAGCACUCUGGGGGGACUGCCCCGGAAACGGGGAGGAAGGAGCGGGCCACGGCAGGUCAGUAUGCCCCGAAUCCCCCGGGCCGCACGCGACGUUCAAUGGUGGGGACAGUGGGCUGCGACCCCGAAAGGGGAAGCCAAUCCCUAAACCCCACCUCAGUAGGGAUCGAGGGUUGCAACUCGCCCUCGUGAACGCGGAAUCCCUAGUAACCGCCCGUUACCACCGGGCGGUGAAUACGUCCCCGCUCCUUGCACACACCGCCCGUC